AAUAGAGGAGGAAAGAGUGAGAGAUGCCGGCGAGCGGCGGACGGCUGAGUAACGCGUGGGAACGUGCCCCAAAGUGAGGAAUAACUGCCCGAAAGGGUAGCUAAUGCCGCAUAUGAUCUUCGGAUUAAAGGAUUUAUCCGCUUUGGGAGCGGCCCGCGUCAGAUUAGGUUGUUGGUGAGGUAAAGGCUCACCAAGCCGACGAUCUGUAGCUGGUCUGAGAGGAUGAUCAGCCAGACUGGGACUGAGACACGGCCCAGACUCCUACGGGAGGCAGCAGUAAGGAAUCUUCAAGGGUGGACGAAAGUCUGAUGGAGCAACUCCGCGUGUAAAAGGGAGGCCUUCGGGUUGUAAACUGCUUUUAUUUGUGAAGAA
rnacentral:rRNA from 1 species